UAGCAUAUCAAUAAGCGGAGGAAAAGAAACCAACAGGGAUUGCCCUAGUAACGGCGAGUGAAGCGGCAACAGCUCAAAUUUGAAAUCUGGCUCUCGGGCCCGAGUUGUAAUUUGUAGAGGAUGCUUUGAUGCGGUGCCUUCCGAGUUCCCUGGAACGGGACGCCAUAGAGGGUGAGAGCCCCGUCUGGUUGGAUGCCAAAUCUCUGUAAAGCUCCUUCGACGAGUCGAGUAGUUUGGGAAUGCUGCUCUAAAUGGGAGGUAUAUGUCUUCUAAAGCUAAAUACCGGCCAGAGACCGAUAGCGCACAAGUAGAGUGAUCGAAAGAUGAAAAGCACUUUGAAAAGAGAGUUAAAAAGUACGUGAAAUUGUUGAAAGGGAAGCGUUUAUGACCAGACUUGGGCUUGGUUAAUCAUCUGGGGUUCUCCCCAGUGCACUUUUCCAGUCCAGGCCAGCAUCAGUUUUCGCCGGGGGAUAAAGGCUUCGGGAAUGUGGCUCUCUCCGGGGAGUGUUAUAGCCCGUUGCGUAAUACCCUGGCGGGGACUGAGGUUCGCGCAUCUGCAAGGAUGCUGGCGUAAUGGUCAUCAACGACCCGUCUUGAAACACGGACCAAGGAGUCGUCUUCGUAUGCGAGUGUUCGGGUGUCAAACCCCUACGCGUAAUGAAAGUGAACGCAGGUGAGAGCUUCGGCGCAUCAUCGACCGAUCCUGAUGUUCUCGGAUGGAUUUGAGUAAGAGCAUACGGGGCCGGACCCGAAAGAAGGUGAACUAUGCCUGUGUAGGGUGAAGCCAGAGGAAACUCUGGUGGAGGCUCGCAGCGGUUCUGACGUGCAAAUCGAUCGUCAAACAUGGGCAUGGGGGCGAAAGACUAAUCGA
rnacentral:rRNA from 1 species